GAUAUUCUGAGUGAAUAAUGGAAUGAAUCAUUGACCCAUAAUUCAAAGGUACUCCGUUUGUUUUAUCGAAAAGAUAUCUUGCGGUAGCUAGCAACCUUAAUGCUUGCUACUCUUUCUGUUGUUACACGAGUUGCAACUUGAAAAUGGUGGAGUUAUUACCUGUUCUAGCACAGAGUUGAUCAGAUGGAGUUUUUUUACAGCUUG
rnacentral:misc_RNA from 1 species